GUUAAUAAGCGUAAUUUAUAUUUUUCUAGUCGAAAAGUAAAUAAUUUGUUAGAAAUUUGCCGACGGCGCUCACUAAGUUGCGCGCCCUUCUGCCGUGCUUCGAAUCCAAAUCACAAUGAUAUCGAUACCUGUCCCAAUCUCCUCUCCCAGCUCCAGGUUCCGGGUAUCAUCGAUUCUUUGUUAGUGUAUGAUAUUGCUCGUUUCGUCUUUCGUUUGGGUGUUCGAGAGGGUUCCUUUGGCUGUACAUUUUGAUGGAUAAGGAGGAGAAUGCUACUAGUGAUGGUGAUCAUGAGGAGGCUUCUCAGUAUGAACUAGCUGUGUGUCCCGAAGAAGACAUGGAAGAAGAUGUCGAGGAUGAGGAAGAGGAUGACGAAGAUGAGGAGGUGGAGGAGGACAAUGAGGAUGAGGAAGAGAAUGUCUUGAGUUUUAUAGAUGGGAUUAAUCCUUUGGAUCUUGUGGAAGAUGAUGGUGGUGACCAACUUUAUCAGCGACUUCUGGGGGCGGAUUAUGAGGCUUUAGCUGAGAGAAAGAGAAAAGCACUUGUGGACAGCCGGCCCGAAGGUUCGGUUAAGAAGGCCAGGCGGGAGGAUCUUACUGGAGCAAGCAUGGAGGAAAUAAUGGAGGCCAUGAAUUAUGGUAUGCAAAGGAGAUCAAGGAAGUCUAAGAAAAGGGGUAGGCGAAAAGGAUCAACGAAGAAGCUAACCCCCGAGAUUAAUAGAAUGCUUGGUGAAGCUAAUCUUCACUAUGCAUUUGGCCGUUUUGAAGAGGCCAUACCAAUCUUGACAGAAGUUGUAAAGAAAGCACCAGAUUUGCCUGACUCGUAUCAUACACUUGGAAUUAUCCAUGACAAUCUUGGUAAUGAGUUGGAUGCCUUGAAUUGCUACAGAAUUGCUGCAUUUUUAGCACCAAGAGAUCCAGCUCUUUGGGAACUGCUUUUUGACCGGUUCAAUAAACGAGGCAACAGUCAUGAUGCGAUUUAUUGCCUUUCAAGAGCAAUAUCAGCAGAUCCUAAAAAUGUUAGUCUGAAAUUUGAUCGUGCUUCACUUUAUGUUAAGCUUGGAGAUUAUCAGAAAGCGGCAGCAUCUUAUGAACAGAUAGUACAAGCCUAUCCUGAUAAUGUUGAAGCACUCAAGACGGGAGCAAUGACGUAUGAAAGAUGUGGUCAGCAAGAGCGUUCUAUACAGAUUCUAGAGGACUAUCUCAGAAAUCAUCCAACUGAAGCUGAUCUUAGUGUCAUUGAUCUGCUGGCUUCCAUACUUAUGGAAAAUAACUCACAUAAGGAAGCCCUUCAGCAUAUUGAGCAUGCACAACUGGUAUUCUGUUCAGAAAAAGAGAUGCCUCUGGCAAUGACAACUAAAGCAGGAAUAUGCCAUGCUUACCUCGGAAAUAUGGAGAAGGCAGAAAGUAUUUUUAGUGCUCUUGAUGAGAAGAGUGCAGAUAAUGCUGACUUGAUUGCUAAAGUUGCAGAGUCAUAUAUGAGUCUUGGGCAUCAUAGUUCUGCGUUGAAGUAUUAUUUGAUGUUGAAAGGAAAUGUCGAAUUUAAUAAUGGCUUUAUAAUUAUGAAAAUCGCUCAAUGUCAUUUGUCAUUGAAUGACAGAGUACAGGCAAUUUUGUGCUUCUACGAAGCUUUAAAGACAUUUGAAGAUGAUAUUGAGGCUCGAUUAACACUGGCUUCUAUUCUUGUUGAAGAAGCCAGAGAAGAUGAAGCCAUUUUGUUGCUAUCUCCUCCGAAAAUUCUACAUCGUAUGGACCCCCAAACGGAUAAAUCAGAACCAUGGUGGUGCAAUGGGAAGGUGAAACUGAAGCUUUGCGACAUCUACCGAGCUAAGGGGAUGACCAAGGAAUUUGUAGAUACAAUCUAUCAUCUGGUACACGAGUCACUGAGCAUUGAAUCACUUCAGCAAAAGGUGAAAGUGAAAAGGAGGCUCACAAAAACUGUCCUGUUAGAAAGAGUCAAAGUCCUGGAGGAUCACCAAAAAGAGAACCUAUUGUGCAGAUCUAGACCAGUAGCUCCUGCUUCAGAUCUGCUUAAAGCUGCAAGAGCGAAGAAGUUGCUUCAGAAGAAGGCAAAAGUAAAGGAAGAUAAGAGAGCUGAGGCCAUGGCUUCUGGAGUUGACUGGCAAAGUGAUGAUUCAGAUGAUGAUCCUCCGGAAGAAAUACAUAAAGAACCUCCCCUGCCAGAUCUUCUCAAGGAUAAAGAGUAUAACGACCUCAUAAUAGAUUUGUGUAAGUCACUGGCCUCCUUGCAAAGAUAUUGCGAAGCAUUGGAGAUAAUAAAUCUUUUCUUGAAGGCGACUCGCAACAUGUCUUCUGUUGCGGAAGAACUCAGGUCUCUUGGAGCUCAAAUUGCAUACAACACACCUGAUCCUGAGCAUGGGGUUAACUGUGUAAAAUACAUUGCAGACCAGCAUCCAUAUAGCAAUGCUGCCUGGAAUUGCUAUUACAAAGUAAUUACCAGAUUAGAUGACUGGUAUGCGAGGCAUUACAAGUUUCUACGCAAUAAGAGAGACAAACUCAAAGACUGUGCACCUCCCAGUCUCAUUUCUGGGCAUCAUUUUACUAAAAAAAGCCGUCAUCAAGAUGCCGUGAGAGAAUACCUAGAAGCUUAUAAAUUAUUGCCAGAGAAUCCCCUUAUUAAUCUCUGUGUUGGUACUGCCUUAGUCAACUUAGCCCUUGGACAUAGACUUCAGAAUAGGCACCAGUGUGUUGCACAAGGCUUAGCAUUCCUCCACAACAACUUGCAGCUUUGUGAAUUCAGCCAGGAGGCAUUUUACAACAUAGCCAGGGCGUACCAUCAAGUCGGCCUUGUGACUCUGGCAGCUUGGCAUUAUGACAAAGUUCUUGCAAUGCAAGUGAAGGAUUACCCCAUGCCAAAGCUUCCCCAUGAAAAGCCAGAGUCUGCUGAAAAUAAAAAAUCGGGUUACUGUGACCUUCGCAGAGAAGCAGCUUUUAAUUUGCAUCUCAUCUACAAAAAAAGUGGAGCGGUUGAUCUUGCUCGAACCAUCUUAAGAGAUCACUGCACUUUCUGAGAAUUAUGUUCCUGAUCUCAGGUAUUGCGACUGUUUGAAUGAGAGGGUGGCUUCCUACUCCCUAGUUGAUCUCUUCAGUUCUCUCGAAAAGGCCUAUUAACGGUUUUCCGUGGUCUAAUCUGCUGAGAAAUGGGAGGGAAACACUAAAAGAAAGAAGGAAAGUGCAGGUUGAUAUUCCUAUACUACCCUUGUUGGUCCCGAGGAUUGAGCUCGUGAGUGACAUGUGUCCUUCGCAUUGAUACUUAAGAAGGAAAGUGCAGGUUAAUAUUCCUAUACUACCCUUGUUGGUCCCGAGGGAUGGAGGAGGUUAGGUUAGCCUAAAGAUGGUUAUUGGUUCAACUGUUCAAGGACGCGGGUUGCCCCUGAAUUCUCAGAGUAAGAAGAGGUAGAGAAAAUGUCUUGAGCCAAUGUUCGAGUACCUGGCGCCACAGCCAAAAAUACAAAGUACCGUAAUCAUUCUUUGGCCUAUUUGUUUUCUUUUUCCGCUAGGUCAGAUGCCACUAUUACUCGUGGUGAAAAACUACAUUUGUGUAAAUUGUCAUACAACGCCCCCCACAUUUAUGUAAUUUGAUGAUCUUUUUCGCUUUGA